rnacentral:lncRNA from 1 species
GGGAACUACCUCCUUCGUUUGUUGCUAAAGAACGGAAGAAGGAGGGAGACGAGGCUGGGAGACAGGGAGCGCCUCCGAGUGGCGGAGCAAUAGCCGCGUCCCACUUGGCGGGGGUCCCGCCAGUUCCGCUAGUUGUCCCCGCCUCUGCCCUUCCCCCCGGGAAUUCUAGCCCCGGGAAACAAGGCGCUGGCGAUACAUGCCUGGAAGGCUGGCACCGGCAUCUCUCAGAUGGGCCCAGGGCGUCCCGCCGCCGCCGAAACAGAGCUUCCCGCGGGCCCCGCAGAGUCCCAGGCAGGGCCGGGAUCUGGCCCCCAGCCCCGCGUCACGCGCGCGGCUUCCCCGGGGGCGGCCAGAGCGUGCGCGUGCCGGAGGAGGCCCCCGCCGCCCGCCAGCUGCUGGAAGACCUCAGGCGGCGGCUGGCGAGCGCCUUCCAGCGGGCGGCGGCGCGCGAGCAGCAGAGCCGGGCGUGCUUCGAGGGCGCACUGGGCCGGCUGAGCGCCGAGCUGUUUUAGCUGGAAAUGCAUUUCCAAAAUCGCCAACUGGUCAGAACUGUACUGGAUUUAAACAUGAAAAUGCAGCAAUUGAAAAAGGAGUAUGAACUGGAAAUUGCAUCAAAAUCUCAAAGCUCAGAAGAUAAUUCUCUGAAUCGGGAAUAAGGAAAUGCACGCUUGAAGAUCAGAACCCUAAAAAUAACAUAGACAUCUCUGAAACAGUUCUGACAGUAACAUCAUGCAUGCCUUGCAUAAGAUUUUAGGGGCAAUUUGUAGGCCCAAACUUAGAUGCCAUGGGGAAGUGACAGAAAAUGUCUAAGAGGGAAGAGAUAGAAAAUGAUAUAUGACCAAGUUUUGGCCGAGAAGUGAAAAAAAUAUGUACUGAAGAAUGCUUUAAUGCCAAUUUCUAGUAUGCUAUUUUGUGCCACCUUAACUUUCUGGCAUUGCCUGAACUUUCGGAAUCUGUGCAUGUUUUUAUUUUACUUGAUUAUUCUUGGCUUGUCUGUCCAGUUAGUUAUUCUGUAGCUACCCCCCGCCCCCCACCACUAAGUAUCCCACUAUCCAUCUCCCCACGGAUAUAGUCAUGCAGAUCAAGCCAGGUUGAUCAGCUUGUCUCAGGAGUUUUUGAACUAGAACUAAGGGAGUAGAUGAGUAUUUCCUGAUGGUAGAAACUGUGCAAUAGCGGGGUUUGGAAGCUGCUGGUGGCCACCACGUGAGAAAGUGUGAGCUCUAAUGAAGGAGGUUGAAACUGUACCGCUGGGAGGACAGAAAAAGACGGAAAGAACUGAACUUCCUUGUCCCUGGGGUCGAGCUGUCUAAAACCCCAGCCCUUGCUGUCAUCUAGAUAUCUGAAAAUACUCUAAUAGCCUCCUAAUAAAGUCUCCUUUUGCCUAAGUCAAUUGAGUUGGACUUUUAUGACUUGUACUCAAAAGAUUCUUGACUAACACAAUUCCUUUGUUUACGCUUUUAGGAGUUAAAAUGGUUCUUGUUGAAUUAGAAUAUCUACCUCUAAACCCUGAAAGUGCUGCCUUCUUAGUGCAGAG